rnacentral:rRNA from 1 species
ACGGGAGGCAGCAGUGGGGAAUAUUGCACAAUGGGCGAAAGCCUGAUGCAGCGACGCCGCGUGAGUGAAGAAGUAUCUCGGUAUGUAAAGCUCUAUCAGCAGGGAAGAAAAUGACGGUACCUGACUAAGAAGCCCCGGCUAACUACGUGCCAGCAGCCGCGGUAAUACGUAGGGGGCAAGCGUUAUCCGGAUUUACUGGGUGUAAAGGGAGCGUAGACGGUAUGGCAAGUCUGAAGUGAAAGCCCGCGGCUUAACUGCGGGACUGCUUUGGAAACUGUCAGACUAGAGUGUCGGAGAGGUGAGUGGAAUUCCCAGUGUAGCGGUGAAAUGCGUAGAUAUUGGGAGGAACACCGGAGGCGAAGGCGGCUCACUGGACGAUAACUGACGUUGAGGCUCGAAAGCGUGGGGAGCAAACAGGAUUAGAUACCCUGGUA